GAUGGUAGUCAGCUUGUGCUUCAUGCUGAUAUGAGCACAAAAUACAUAUAUGGUGUAAAUUGUGUUUCUGAACGUUUGUAUACUGAAACAAAAUUGUGUUGAGCCAUUCUAUUAGCUUUUUUGUAUCUCUUCAACUCUCCAUACCACAACAUUAUGAAAUUUGAAGGAUAAUAUUUAUAUUGUGAAAGAGAAAAAACAUUACUCCCUUUACCUCAU
rnacentral:lncRNA from 1 species